CAUGCAGUCGAACGCUUCUUUUUCCACCGGAGCUUGCUCCACCGGAAAAAGAGGAGUGGCGAACGGGUGAGUAACACGUGGGUAACCUGCCCAUCAGAAGGGGAUAACACUUGGAAACAGGUGCUAAUACCGUAUAACAAUCAAAACCGCAUGGUUUUGAUUUGAAAGGCGCUUUCGGGUGUCGCUGAUGGAUGGACCCGCGGUGCAUUAGCUAGUUGGUGAGGUAACGGCUCACCAAGGCCACGAUGCAUAGCCGACCUGAGAGGGUGAUCGGCCACAUUGGGACUGAGACACGGCCCAAACUCCUACGGGAGGCAGCAGUAGGGAAUCUUCGGCAAUGGACGAAAGUCUGACCGAGCAACGCCGCGUGAGUGAAGAAGGUUUUCGGAUCGUAAAACUCUGUUGUUAGAGAAGAACAAGGAUGAGAGUAACUGUUCAUCCCUUGACGGUAUCUAACCAGAAAGCCACGGCUAACUACGUGCCAGCAGCCGCGGUAAUACGUAGGUGGCAAGCGUUGUCCGGAUUUAUUGGGCGUAAAGCGAGCGCAGGCGGUUUCUUAAGUCUGAUGUGAAAGCCCCCGGCUCAACCGGGGAGGGUCAUUGGAAACUGGGAGACUUGAGUGCAGAAGAGGAGAGUGGAAUUCCAUGUGUAGCGGUGAAAUGCGUAGAUAUAUGGAGGAACACCAGUGGCGAAGGCGGCUCUCUGGUCUGUAACUGACGCUGAGGCUCGAAAGCGUGGGGAGCAAACAGGAUU
rnacentral:rRNA from 1 species